rnacentral:sRNA from 1 species
UUAUAGUUGCUACCUGCGUUAGGGAUAGAAAAGGAAAUCCUUUUUGAAAGGCACGAGCAAAAAGAUUGUAUUGGAUAGCCCGACCCUUU